CUGAGCUUAGAGAAGUGAAGGUGAUGUUUUCAGACCCUGGAAGAGGAAUUUACUUUUUCCUUCAGGAAGCAGAGCAGCUCCCUGUGCACCCAUACCACACCUCAGAGGACACCAGGAGCUGAGCCUGUGCUG
rnacentral:lncRNA from 1 species